rnacentral:telomerase_RNA from 1 species
GCGCCUUCCCCACAGUCAUCCAGUACUCAUUUUCCGAAAGGAAUGCCUCUGGCCUCUUCUCUAGUCCAGCAACCUCUCGCGGCGUCGCAUCCUCGAGCUCCACGCGAGACUCACUAUGAGAAUGCCGCGAUCGGUUCCGCGUCUGGUUGCAGCCCCCCCAGAUGGGCGGGCAACAUGGACUGGAGUUGGGAAUGGGUAUUGGAACUUAACCCUAAGUAAUCGUUGGUUUUUCCAAGUUUUGCAGAUAUGUUGCUCGGCUUGUUUACUACGUUUUUGGUACGAAACUUGUUAAGCUGAAAAGUGGCGCAACAGAAGAUCAAGGGCCGAAACAGAAGCUGGGGAGCCCAGAGUCUUCGGAUACAAAAGAGAUGUUCCUAUGAGCCAUUCUGGUAAUACCCUCCGCGAGGGAGCUCGUCAGUUUCAUCUGCUGGGCGUUAUACUCUGAUCAAGUCCCGACUGUUUCUUUGGUGCCCAAGUCAUUGGUACGGUGGGAUAUACGUGCUGGUUACAUAUAUACAACUCUCGGUGUGGAGGUUGUAUUCGGGUGUUUUCAACUGUGCUGAUUUCGAUGAAAGCCUUUUGGCA